rnacentral:lncRNA from 1 species
GGGUGUGAGUGUUCACAGAAACCAUCCUUUGAACAUAAUAAUAAUAAAAGUGAAAUCCCUGAGUAAUAAAAAUUGCUUUAGUGAACAAUGAAACUGUGGAGGAUAAUAAAAAAUUGCUUUAAUGAAUAAUGCAGCUUUUUUUUUCUCCCUCCCCAACCUGUUGCCAGAAAUAAAUUCCAAACUAGGAGCUGCUUUCUACACAGAUCAUAAAUACUCAGUAUUUUCUUCAGAGACUGGCCUAAACACUGAACCAAGCUCCAAAAUGAGACACUGGAAAGCUUCAGCAGAGAGGCCCAGUCCUGCAAUUUUAGCCCUCUGGCCUCCAAUGGAAGUUUUACCUGGAUAAGUGGAAUAAAAACAGGACCAUAGGUAUCUACUUUAUGAGCAGAGAAUAGCAGGAGGAAAAUGAAGUAUAACUGAGACAAGCACAAAAACCACUAAUGGCUAUAGAUUCCAUGCCAUCAGAAAAAAAAUAUAGGGAGCAGUUUUCCACAGGAACAUCUCGACAGCAGUGGCCAGUAAUGAAAUCGGAAUACAGCAAGGAACAUCCAGAACUCAACACACCAAUGAAGAUGCCUGAUUAUCACUGGCAGACGAGCAAUGAUCUCCAAAUAAAGGGGUGUCUCAAAUCCAGCAAGGGAAAAGAUGUUAAUAAACACUUUGUUGGGCCCAAGACCCCCUUAUUAAAAUGACACUACCCAACCCCCACAACAAGUGAAAUUCAUUCCUGGGAAGGCCAAAGGAGGUUGAUUUGACAAGUUUAUGCCUGAGCUUCCCAGUGCAAAAUCAGUGGUUUCACUCUCAGGGUCAGCGUUGAAGGGUAUUUCCUGUGACACCUGGGAAACAUAGAGGAAAACGAGCCUGUGCACUCCACUUUUGUGGCUCUAUGUAUGUAUUAUUACAUUUAU